rnacentral:rRNA from 1 species
GCUUGUCUCAAAGAUUAAGCCAUGCAUGUCUAAGUAUAACUCUUUUACUUUGAAAACUGCGAACGGCUCAUUAUAUCAGUUAUAGUUUCUUUGAUAGUCCCUUACUACUUGGAUACCCGUAGUAAUUCUAGAGCUAAUACAUGCAUCAAUACCCAACUGUUCGCGGAAGGGUAGUAUUUAUUAGGUAUAGACCAACCCUCCUCGGAGGUGCUUUGGUGAUUCAUAAUAACUUUGCGAAUCGCAUGGCCUUGUGCCGGCGAUGAAUCAUUCAAAUUUCUGCCCUAUCAACUUUCGAUGGUAAGGUAUUGGCUUACCAUGGUUGCAACGGGUAACGGAGAAUUAGGGUUCGAUUCCGGAGAGGGCGCCUGAGAAAUGGCGACCACAUCCAAGGAAGGCAGCAGG